UACGUAGGUGGCGAGCGUUAUCCGGAUUUAUUGGGUUUAAAGGGUGCGUAGGCGGUUUUUUAAGUUAGUGGUUAAACGUCGGGGCUUCACCUUGAUUUGCCAUUAAUACUGUAAGACUCGAAUUCAGACGAGGUAGGCGGAGUAAGUUAAGUAGCGGUGAAAUGCUUAGAUAUAACUUAGAACCCCGAUAGCGAAGGCAGCUUACCAGACUGUUACUGACGCUGAAGCACGAGAGCGUGGGUAGCGAACAGG
rnacentral:rRNA from 1 species